GGUUAAGUGAAUAAGGGCGUACGGUGAAUGCCUUGGCACUAGGAGCCGAUGAAGGACGGGACGAACACCGAUAUGCUUCGGGGAGCUGUAAGUAAGCUUUGAUCCGGAGAUUUCCGAAUGGGGGAACCUCAUUGUUUUUAUCGACAAUGGUCCACUCAGUGAACACAUAGCUGAGUGGAAGGUAGACGUGGUGAACUGAAACAUCUCAGUAGCCACAGGAAGAGAAAGAAAAAUCGAUUUCCCGAGUAGCGGCGAGCGAAACGGAAAGAGGCCAAACCAGCGUGCUUGCAUGCUGGGGUUGUAGGACUGAUGGACGGGAGUGAAUGAGCUAGUCGAACGCCAUGGAAAGGGCGAUCAGAGAGGGUGACAAUCCCGUAGGCGAAAGCUCAGCCACCUCAUUCAGUAUCCUGAGUACGGCGGUACACGUGAAAUUCCGUCGGAAUCCGCCAGGACCAUCUGGCAAGCCUAAAUACUCCCUAGUGACCGAUAGUGAACCAGUACCGUGAGGGAAAGGUGAAAAGCACCCCGGAAGGGGAGUGAAAGAGUACCUGAAACCGUAUGCCUACAAGCAGUCAGAGCCCGUUAAGGGGUGAUGGCGUACUUUUUGUAGAACGGACCGGCGAGUGACGAUAGCAAGCAAGGUUAAGCUGAAGAAGCGGAGCCACAGCGAAAGCGAGUCUGAAGAGGGCGUUGAGUUUGUUGUCGUCGACCCGAAACCAAGUGAUCUACUCAUGUCCAGGCUGAAGGUGUGGUAAAACACACUGGAGGGCCGAACCCACGUCUGUUGAAAAAGGCGGGGAUGAGGUGUGGGUAGCGGUGAAAUUCCAAUCGAACUUGGAGAUAGCUGGUUCUCUCCGAAAUAGCUUUAGGGCUAGCCUCGGAUGAUGACUAUUGGAGGUAGAGCACUGUUUGAUCGAGGGGUCCAUCCUGGAUUACCGACAUCUGAUAAACUCCGAAUGCCAAAUAGUUUAGUCCGGGAGUCAGACUGCGAGUGAUAAGAUCCGUAGUCGAAAGGGAAAGAGCCCAGACCACCAGCUAAGGUCCCAAAGUUUCAGUUAAGUGGAAAAGGAUGUGGGGUUGCUUAGACAACUAGGAUGUUGGCUUAGAAGCAGCCAUCAUUGAAAGAGUGCGUAAUAGCUCACUAGUCGAGUGACCCUGCGCCGAAAAUGUACCGGGGCUAAACUGAACACCGAAGCUGUGGAUCCGUAGGAUGGUAGGAGAGCGUUCUAUAGGCAGAGAAGCAUGAUCGUGAGGACAUGUGGAGCGUAUAGAAGUGAGAAUGCCGGUAUGAGUAGCGAAAGACGGGUGAGAAUCCCGUCCACCGAAUGACUAAGGUUUCCUGGGGAAGGCUCGUCCUCCCAGGGUUAGUCGGGACCUAAGCCGAGACCGAAAGGGAUAGGCGAUGGACAACAGGUUGAGAUUCCUGUACUUGUUUGAUUUGUUUGAGCGAUGGAAGGACACAGAAGGCUAAGCGGAGCGCGGAGAUGGAAAAACGCGUCCAAGCAAUGAGUGAGAAGGUGAGUGAAAGGCUUGCCUCAGACUUCAUGAGUUGUGACGGGGAGGGAAGUUUAGUACCGAAGCCGCCGACGUCACGCUGUCAAGAAAAGUUUCUAGUGAGAAUCAAACAACCCGUACCGCAAACCGACACAGGUAGUCGAGUGGAGAACACUAAGGUGAGCGAGCGAACUCUCGUUAAGGAACUCGGCAAAAUGACCCCGUAACUUCGGGAGAAGGGGUGCUGACCGCAAGGUCAGCCGCAGUGAAUAGGCCCAAGCGACUGUUUAUCAAAAACAUAGGUCUCUGCCAAAUCGAAAGAUGAUGUAUAGAGGCUGACGCCUGCCCGGUGCUGGAAGGUUAAGAGGAAGGGUUAGCGUAUGCGAAGCUCUGAAUUGAAGCCCCAGUAAACGGCGGCCGUAACUAUAACGGUCCUAAGGUAGCGAAAUUCCUUGUCAGGUAAGUUCUGACCCGCACGAAAGGCGUAACGAUUUGGGCACUGUCUCAACGAGAGGCUCGGUGAAAUUGUAGUACCAGUGAAGAUGCUGGUUACCCGCGACAGGACGGAAAGACCCCAUGGAGCUUUACUGUAGGUUGAUAUUGAAUGUUUGUGCCACAUGUACAGGAUAGGUAGGAGCCAUCGAAGUCGGGACGCUAGUCUCGAUGGAGGCACUGGUGGGAUACUACCCUUGUGGGAUGACCAUUCUAACCCGCGACCAUUAGCUGGUCGGGAGACAGUGUCAGUCAGGCAGUUUGACUGGGGCGGUCGCCUCCUAAAGUGUAACGGAGGCGCCCAAAGGUUCCCUCAGAAUGGUUGGAAAUCAUUCGCAGAGUGUAAAGGCAGAAGGGAGCUUGACUGCGAGACCUACAAGUCGAGCAGGGACGAAAGUCGGGCUUAGUGAUCCGGUGGUUCCGCAUGGAAGGGCCAUCGCUCAACGGAUAAAAGCUACCCUGGGGAUAACAGGCUUAUCUCCCCCAAGAGUUCACAUCGACGGGGAGGUUUGGCACCUCGAUGUCGGCUCAUCGCAUCCUGGGGCUGAAGUCGGUCCCAAGGGUUGGGCUGUUCGCCCAUUAAAGCGGUACGCGAGCUGGGUUCAGAACGUCGUGAGACAGUUCGGUCCCUAUCCGUCGCGGGCGUUGGAAAUUUGAGAGGAGCUGUCCUUAGUACGAGAGGACCGGGAUGGACACACCGCUGGUGUACCAGUUGUUCCACCAGGAGCAUGGCUGGGUAGCUAUGUGUGGACGGGAUAAGCGCUGAAAGCAUCUAAGCGUGAAGCCCCCCUCAAGAUGAGAUUUCCCAUACUUUGAAAGUAGUAAGACCCCUGAAAGACGAUCAGGUUGAUAGGUUUGGAGUGGAAGCUUAGCAAUAAGUGGAGCGGACAAAUACUAAUCGGUCGAGGACUUAUCCAA
rnacentral:rRNA from 1 species